CGGGGUGUGGCGCAGUUGGUAGCGCGUCUGGUUUGGGACCAGAAGGCCGCAGGUUCGAACCCUGUCACCCCGA
rnacentral:tRNA from 1 species